UAGCAGCACGCCAUGGUUUGUA
rnacentral:miRNA from 2 species